rnacentral:lncRNA from 1 species
AGGUGUUUUGUUCCAAGGGAACUUGGAUCAGUGAUCAGUCAUCAAAGUUGAACCGGGUGAUAUGACAAGAAAAGAAAGAUUAUUUUCUACAAAACAGAAUCAUUUACAGUUGCUGUCUUGAAUUGUGUAAAGAAGGUUUGUUUAUAAAAAUUUUUCAGGCAAUGUGGCAUGAAAAUUAUAAAUUCUGAAUAAUAUGUUUUUUCCCUUGGGGAAUUAAUCCAAUCUAAGCCAAUAACUAAUAAGUGCGGAAGCCCUGUGUCAGUGAACAUUUUUUAUCAGUCAAAAGUAAUUGUUUUGAUGAGAGAAAUGAUUGUAGACAAUGUUCAGAAUUAAAAAAUAUCCUGUGGUCUCCUUUUGCUGAGCAUGGGUUGCUACUUGUCUGUGAUUGCCCCUUUGCAAAACGAUUUACAGUCAAACCGGAUGUUCUGUUCCCCUGAAUAUUGCAAUAUUGUUGGAAAUAUUGCAAUUUUGAUUGCGAGAUUGCUCUGAGCAAGUUGCAACCAACGUGAUCAAAUUGCUGGUUGAAAUUCACAACUAGCUACUUGAAAUUCACAUAAACAAAGUCUCUGCUACAGUGGUAGCAAAGAAGAACCAAUCCAUUUACUCAGAGAGUCAGAGUAUAUGAUUGGCUCUUCUCUGCUACUAGCAGCCAAGGCCAAAUAAAAAAAAUUGCUGGUUUCAGGUUUCACAGCCAUGUUUUAUAUGGGUAGGUAGGUCGGAAAAACAUUUUAUUUAAAAAAAUAUUUUAUAUCAAGUAUGCAAUAACAGGAUAACCCGUGAGCUACAUGUUUUUCGCGAGAAAUAAACACAUCAAGGCGUUUUCGCCUUUUUUCAGCAGUAGCUGCCAUUUCAGAUACGUUUUUAAUAUUUUAUUCAACUGUUCUUUGUGUAAAACUAUGAUUAACAUGACUGUAUGAUUAAAUUAUAAGCAAACAAAAUAAUUUGUAGAUAAACAAGUCUAAUGACUAUUUAUAUAUUUGGCUAUUUAAGAUCUCUACUGGGAAAAGUCAAUAAAAUGUUUAUGGUCGGUCAUAUUUUUGACAGGUCGGGCGGAAACCUGAAACCAACUAUUAUUUUUAUUUGGCCCAAUCAUAGACUUUGUUUACAAAUCUGGUUGUGAAUUUCAACUUGCAAUUUGAUCAUGUCUGUUGCAACUUGCUCAGAGCAAUCUCGCAAUCAAAAUUGCAAUAUUUCCAACAAUAUGGCAAUAUUCAGGGGAACAGAACAUCCGGUUUGACUGUAAAACAUGUUUUUAUCAGUUGAAAGUGAUUGUUUUGAUGAGAAAAUGUGUCUCAGUGUCAAAGAUUAAAAGAUUUUCAUAACUGGGUAAAAGACAGCAAAAAAGUAAGGCUAUAGCUUUUACUUUUCGUUCAUUUUGAUGACAUUUUCGUAAAGAAGUAAAAAACGGCAAAAAAGGCUACAGCCUAUACUUUUCAUCGAUUUUGACGACUUUUUCAUUUUUCAUAAAGGGGCAAAAAACAGCAAAAAAAGUAAGGCUAUAGCCUUUACUUUUUGUCCAUUUUGACAACUUUUUUUCAUUAAGGCCUGUGAAUCUGUGUCAGUGAACAUGUUUUUAUCCGUCGAAAGUAAUUGUUUUGAUGAGAGAAAUGUUUAUCGACAAUGUUCAGAACGUUUGGAAUAAUAGUUUGGGGCUUUUUUAAUUUUACGCUAUAGCCUUUACUCCCUUUAGCCCUUUACUUUUCAUCCAUUUUGACAACUUUUUCAUUAAUUAAGGCCUGUGAAUCCCCCUUUGCAUUUUUUGACUCAAAGUUUGGAAUGGCUUGGGGGCAAUUUUUGAAAAAUUUCGAGUGAUCCCCCCAUUCCUUUGUUGAAUACCACGGUUGCCUGUGUGCAUUUGACCCAAUUAAAUUUUUCAAAACAUGUUUUUAUGAGUCGAAAGUGAUCGUUUUGAUGAGAGAAAUGUUUCGCAACAAUUUUCAGAAAGUUUGGACCUCUAUGAAUUUUAAAAAAAAAAUCCUAUGAUCACCUAGCCUGCGAACAGGCUCUCAAGCUGAAUUGAGAGCCUGCAUCGAUGACUAAUUAAUUUGAAUAUCUGCCCCGUAACGUUAGUUUUUCCAAAUAUGGAAUGUCUAUCCUUAUAUGGUGUUGUUUACGAUCCUAUGAUCCCCCUUUGCAUUUGACCCAAAGUUUUUGAAACAUGUUUUUAUGAUCGUUUUGAUGAGAGAAAUAAAGUUUUGUGAGAUGGGGGAUCCUGUUGUACUCCCAUUUUUAAAAACAAAAAUAUGAAUUUUUCUGUUGCAUCCUUCGUCUGCUAUCAGUUAGAUAAGAUAUGUUGUCAGUUGAUAUGUGCAAAUAACUAGAUUAAUAUCUUUCAUUGUUUAGGUAUUUUGUUCCAAGAGAAUUUAGAUCAGUGAUCAGUCCUCAAAGUUGAACCGGAUUACAUGACAGGAAAAGAAAGAUUAUUUUAUACCAAACAGAAUCAUUUACAGUCGCUGUCUUGAAUCAUUUCAAUAAGGUUAGUUUAUAAAACGUCUUCCAGGCAAUGUGGCAUGAAAAUUAUAAAUUCUGAAUAAUAUGUUUUAUCCCUUGGGGGAAUUAAUCCAAUCUAAGCCAAUAAGUGCUGAAGCCCUGUGUCCGUUAAUAUGUUUUUAUCAGUCAAAAGUAAUUGUUUUGAUGAGAGAAAUAAAUGGUUAUCGACAAUUUUCAGAAAGUUUGGAAUAAUAGUUCUGGGCCUUUUUUAUUUAAAAAAUUCCUGUGCUCUCCCUUUGUUGAGCACGGAUUGCCACUUGCCUGCGGUUGCCCGCUUUGCAAAAUGUUUUAAAACGUGUUUUUAUCAGUUGAAAGUGAUUGUUUUGAUGAGAAAAUGUGUCUCAUUGUUUACUUUUUGUGCAUUUUGACGUAAAGCGACAAAAAAACAACAAAAAGGCAAGGCUAUUUUGAUUGACGACUUUUAAUUUUUCAUCGCUAGCUUUUGAAAAGAAAAA